rnacentral:rRNA from 1 species
UACAGAGGUCUCAAGCGUUGUUCGGAUUCAUUGGGCGUAAAGGGUGCGUAGGUGGCGCCGUAAGUCGGGUGUGAAAGCCCCGGGCUCAACCUGGGAAUUGCGCUCGAUACUCUUGUGCUUGAGUUCGGGAGAGGAGCGUGGAAUUCCCAGUGUAGAGGUGAAAUUCGUAGAUAUUGGGAAGAACACCGGUGGCGAAGGCGGCGCUCUGGACCGAGACUGACGCUGAGGCGCGAAAGCGUGGGGAGCAAACAGG